GAUGAACGCUGGCGGCGUGCUUAACACAUGCAAGUCGAACGGGAUCCAUCAAGCUUGCUUGGUGGUGAGAGUGGCGAACGGGUGAGUAAUGCGUGACCGACCUGCCCCAUGCUCCGGAAUAGCUCCUGGAAACGGGUGGUAAUGCCGGGUGUUCCACAUGAUCGCAUGUGAUUGUGGGAAAGAUUCUAUCGGCGUGGGAUGGGGUCGCGUCCUAUCAGCUUGUUGGUGAGGUAACGGCUCACCAAGGCUUCGACGGGUAGCCGGCCUGAGAGGGCGACCGGCCACAUUGGGACUGAGAUACGGCCCAGACUCCUACGGGAGGCAGCAGUGGGGAAUAUUGCACAAUGGGCGCAAGCCUGAUGCAGCGACGCCGCGUGAGGGAUGGAGGCCUUCGGGUUGUAAACCUCUUUUGUUUGGGAGCAAGCCUUCGGGUGAGUGUACCUUUCGAAUAAGCGCCGGCUAACU
rnacentral:rRNA from 1 species